CUGUAUACCGAUACCCCAUUGAUUGAUCAGUGUUAAACUAUUCUGCUUUAGCAACACAGCAGUCCUAAGUCACAGUUUCCAUGUUCCGAUCUCUAUUUAUAGUGAAAUGGUAUAUGUUUUAAUACUUAUUUUGUUGCUUUAUUUUCACUUCAAAAUACUGUUUUCAGCUCAGGAAACAAGUUCAUUUUUUACAAAUGGUAUAUUAUCAACUGAUAUUACUUUGCUUAUCACGGACAAUCAGCAUUGAGGAAGAAAAUUGUGAGCAAUUUUGAAAACUUUGUCAGACAUGAAUUACAUGUAUUAUAAAAAUAAUCCUAUGUAUCAGUUAAUACAAUGAUAAUACAUUUUACGCUUUAAAUUACCUGACUUAUUGGAGAAAUUUAUAAAAGAUGGAAAAUAUACUCUGCAUUACAUGUUCGUACAUUGUGAUCACUUAACAUAAAUGAUUUCAACAUGCAGACUCCCCAAGUUCCCAAGCUUGGUGUUUGUUUAUUUGUUGAUUUUGUCCUUCACUUUACUUAUAAACAAAAACAACAACACCUAUCUAUCUGCACCGGCAAUCUUCUUCCUUGUGGCAACAAGUGCUUGUUUUGCUCAGUGUUCAAGUGCUACUCUCCUAUCUCAUGAUUUAUUUACGUUUACAAGUCGCCUCUUUAGAAACAAGAACUAAAACAGUUAUACACGCACAUACAUGUAUCUUCAAAUUUCAGAGUGCAUUUGUUGCUUGAUGAAUAUGAACUUAGAUCAGUAAUUACACUACAUGAGCAUUGUGAUUGUACAUUAUACAUGUAUAUGCACUGUAUGUAGAAUCCUGAUAUAGCCACUGAUGUGUACUACUCACAAUUUAGUAUAAGCAUAAGGGUAGGAACUAUUUGUAAAUUCUAUAGGAUUGAAUUCAUGUAAAGUAAAAUUGUUAUGUAUGUACAUGAAAUAUGACAGAAUAACUAGUUCUGAUUAAUAUUGAUAAAAUAUCUUGUAAAGAAUUUUUGGAUUAAUUUAUAUAUACCGGUACAUGUACCGGUAAUGUGUUAGAUUUAAACCUGUAUCUGUGAAAAUCAGAUUUAUUUUGAUUAAUUUACUAUUUGAUUUUUUCAGUAUUAUUUUUUUGAGGAUGUAAUAUUUAAAUAUUAAUUAAAAUCC
rnacentral:sRNA from 1 species